UCAGCAAAACAACUCUUCCCUGAUGUUUGAUGUUAUCUUUUUGGUCUGGGAGCAAUGCCUGUGCCCCUUGCCACCCAGCAGAACCACAGAGAGGAGGAAAGCUCGAUUUCUGGCUCACGGUUGUGGAGGUUCAGUCCAGGGUCCACUACUCCAGCCCUGAGGAGGGCAGAUCAUCGUGGUGGAAAGGCGCCCACGAGUGGUUGCCAGGGAGGGGGGGGGGUCAAGGGACAAAAUAGGUGAUACCCAGACCUGCCACAGGGCACCAUCUGCACUGGCCAGGCCCCACUACAGUCACCACCCAGCACAGUGGCCCUUUCAAAUUAUUAAUCCACCCAACAGAUGAAUCCACCCAUUAGGCCACAGCUCUCCUAGCCUGAUCCAUGUCACCUCUGAACAUUCCUACAUUAGCAGAAGCUUUGGGGGGACACGUCGUAUCCAAACUGUAACAAUACUGAGCAGAUUUUCAAAGGGCUCUAGGAAAAAAACACAUCACGUUUUAAUGGUACUCACUCCACAUUGAGAGCAAAAAAAGGGGAAAAUAGAGGAUUCAAUGCACAGGCGGAGGAGAGCGUGCACACACACCGGCAAGGCUGAUGAUGAAACUGUGCUCCACACACAUCCUGAUCCUGACGAAGGAAGGAGUGAGGCCUGUGGAGCCGGGACCUGGGCUGCGGGCUCAAGUGUUCCCAGGUGUCCCCGGGCUCCUCCCCAGGUGUCCCCGGGCUCCUCCCCAGGAGCUGUGUCUCUGUGACCUUCCCUGGCAACAGGGACCUGACACGUGAUUCAAUCAACUGUCUUGAGAGGGCAGGAUAUUCUCCUGGACCCUCUGGGCAGACUCAAUAUAAUCCCAUGCCCAGUGAGAUAGGUGGCUCCAGGAAGACGGAGAGGCACGGCAGAGGAGCCUCACUGCACAGCUCUGCCUCCAUUCUGUCUUUAGACCAAGGGGGGUGCAGGGGCACUGAGAAGCUGUUCCUUGAGAAUCUGUUUCUUGAGCAGCAAAUGGUGGAGGUUCGCACACCCUGGCUCCUUCCUGCUGCUCUUCUCGCUGUGACCCGGCUGCCAUGAGCCGAGCAGCCCUCGUCUGCCACCCCUUCCCACCCGCUUGCUCUGUCUCACCUCAGGCACCUAGAAAUGGGGUCUGCUGACCAUGGAUACCUGUGAAACUGCGAGCCACCGGAACCUUUUCCUUCUCCAAGCUGAACUUCUAGGUGUUUUGGUCCCAGCAAUGCAAAGCUAACCAACACAGAAAUUAGAGUUCAAAGUGGGUCGUUGCCGGGACUCACCUGACCAAGGGGUUCAGGAGUCUUUGGAACUGGCUUGGGGAGGAGUCUGGAAAAUUCCAGAGGUGCAGGCCAGAGAGGCAUCACCAUGUUGUAGGCAGACUUAAAAAGGGAAGUGCUCAUGGAACCUCCGAAGCCGAGUUUGCUGGUGGAAAUGCAGAGGGCCAAGAACGUGUUUGCUGUGGUUUAGAGGGAACAGGGCUCUACUGGAAGUGGUGUUAGAGGCCACUCAUGCUGCCCUCUGGAAAGGGACGUGUCCGCCUGCCAUCCUUGCCCUGUGACUGUGGGUGAGACAGAAUUGAAAGUGAGGAUCCAAUUAAUCCGGUGGAAGAAAUUUCAAGGUAGCCUAGCAUCUGUGUGGUGGAAUGGGUAUUGCUGCAACUUUAGCCAGGUUUACUGUGACAAUCAGGAGCAGGGAGCAGAGAGGAAGGAUUUUAAAAACUUGAGUGAUGGCCACAGAGCACAUGUAAACUCAGGAGCAGGGGUGCUCUGGCUGCCGGAGAGGUUAGGGCCAGAGAGGAGAAACCAAGUCCUCCACAUGGAGACAAAGGAAAGGUGGCUUGGGGGCACUCAGGAGGCAGCAGGCCGUCCACUGCAGGUGCCUGGGUGUAAAAGUGGAAACUCACUUGAGCACCUAGGAAGCUGAUUCCCCAGGCCCGUUUCCCCAUGCUCAGCUGACCAGGCCACCCCAGCCGUGGUCCAAGAGGCCUGGCUACUGAGCCUGCUGGCAGCAGGUCCUGGCCUCACGCCUGGGGUGUGGGUUUUGCAGGCAGAAAUGAAAACUGUGGAAGUUAUGGGCCAUGGGAACUUCCAUGGAGAUUUCAAAGGGAAGCCUGGGGCCAGGCAAGAUGUGGCAGGGCCAGAGUUCCUUUGGGCACCUCUGACAGGGCAGUCCACGCCUCUGAGGAGCAAAGCUGACCCUUCAAUGGAGAGCCUAGGAAGUUAAAGAGGUGCAGGCCGGAGAGGCAUCACCAUGUUGUAGGCAGACUUGAAAAGGGAAGUGCUCAAGGAACCUCCGAAGCCGAGAUUGCAGGUGGAAAUGCAGAGAGCCAAGAACGUGGGAGAGCUGCUGAGAACAGCUGCAGGAGUCAAGCACAGCCAACCAGAGACAGGCCACGUGAGCCACAGCAGGCCAAGCCACAGGCGUCCGGCUACCCAGGCCCUGUGGUUGGUAUCCGAGCAACCCAAGUCCAGGAUGCUGGACGUGGAGCUACAGGCCUUCAUGUAAGCCCAGUUGGGUUUUGGUCCGUUUGGUUGCAUUUCUUAUUUCUGUGCCCUGUUCUUCCCUAUUGGAACAGGAAUGCUUUCUCUGGGCAAUUGUCUUUUUUUUUCCAUGGGGGGAAAAAAGAACAUUUAUUUAUUUCCAUUGGAUUCCAUUUCACUGGCCCACUCUGUGCAGACCAUUGUGCAGGGUCUGAGAAUUCCAGUUGUUCAGAUCUGGUCUCCACCUGGCCUUGCUCCAACCUCUCUCUAUUGUAAGCAGGCAUCUCUGCUUCCAACCCAACCAAAUUAGCUGCAUUAGGUUGAGUCAGAUGCAGUAACAAACAUGUUCAAAAUCUUAGAUGUUUACUUCUUAUUCUCACUGCCCAUCUGAAACAGGUGGGAUGAGAGUCUGACCAUCUAGUCACUCAGGACCACAGGGGGACAAAGAGUUAACUGUGAAUGACAUCACCAUCUCAAACCAAGGGGAAACCAAGGGGAAACAGCAGACUGUAUUGAAGGGCUUCCAACCAAAAGGAAGCCAGGUCAUUCCUGCUCUUAGUUUAGUGGCCAAAGCAGUCACAACACCAUGCUUAAUUUGAUGGGAUUAAGAAGGGAUGCUUUCCUGUGUUUGGAAGAAGAGGAGAAACAGAACUAUUGGUAAUCACUACAAAUAUGAUCUGCAAUCCACACCCCCCUCCCUAAUGUUCUUCGUUCCCUGAUCCUGUUUUGUCCAAAUGUAAUGCAAUUGUCUUUUGAAAGCACCUCACUUGCUUUGAGUUCUGUGAGGACGUGAGUCUUGGAGGAGACUGGGCCUGGACUUUGAGCUAUGCUGAGAUGGUUAAGACUUUUGGGGACUCUCUGGGAGGUUGAGACGACAUCUCACACUGUGACAUGUGCGUUAGUUUGUAGGGCCAGUGGUAAAACCCGUGCCUUGUAUCUGGCAUGCCCUCACAAUGGUUCCAUGAUCAGACGAGUGGUCCACAGAUGAAUAAAUCUCAGAGGUGGGGCUUUAGGACACCCAGGUUGUGCGGGCUGUGACAUUCCAGGGCACAAGUCCUCAGAUGGAUUAACAAUGUGAAUGGACUGUGAGGUGAUGGCUCUAGGCAGUGGGGUUUGGCUGGAGAAGUCAGGUAACUGGGGACAUGCCCUGGGAAUGAUGACUGUCCCUGACCCUCCCAGUUCUGUCUCUCUCUUUGCGACCUGGCUGUUGUGAGUGGAACAGCUCUCUCUGCCACACCUUCUCCCCUUGUUGUUCUCAUGGCAGGCCCAGUGCAAUGGAGCUGGCUGACUGUGGAACCAGACCUCUACAACUGUGAGUCAAAGUAGAAAUUCCUCCUGCAGGUUGUUCCUGUUGAGCCUUGGGUCACAACAGUGCAAACUGACUAACCCCACCACAGGGCAGGAGGAGGCCUGAUGGACGGGAGCGCAGUCACUGUCCCUGAAAGGGCACCCUUAGCUGCACUCUGCCAUGGCUGGGGCCACGUUCCUAAGUGUAGAGGGCUCCUGAGCACCUCCCACUGUCCUGAGUGCUGGCUGCUUGGCCUGGGGGCCCCUGCUGGCCCUGGGUGCCCUGCAGGGAGGCUCGCGUCUGGCCUCACAGUGCCAUUCACAGCCCUUGCGAUGCCUGUCACACAGCGAUACACAGUGCCCCCUGUGGUGGGAGAAGUGUUCCUGGAUGUGUGGGCAGCCAUGCUGACGUGUCCUGGAAAGCCAGGUUUCCUCUUGGCCCCUGUCCGGCACCCCACCCACUCCAGGGUUCUCCCAGGAUGUUGGCAGAUCCGAUUCUGGUACUUCCCGCUAGAGAGUGAGGCUCUGGACACGGGGUCAGUGAGGCCCAGAAUCUGUGAGGGCUUUUCCAGAGCUGGGCCCAGCUCCUGCCGUGUCGACUCAGACAGGACACAGGAGACAGAGAGCCAGUUGGUCCAGGGUUUCCACACCCAGGCCAGCAGACAGCGCAGAGGAGGGGCCACAGCAUCUGCCUGGUGUGUGCAUGGUGAAGGUCCCUACAGUGGCCUGGCCUGGGAUGGGGACUUUUUCUGUCAGUGCCCAGCAUAAUUUGAGUGUGUGCCCUUGGGGGUGGAAGAGGCUGAGCCAGGUGACUGUCCCUGCUUCCUAGUAACCUGGGCUGCCGGGUGGGAGCUGCUGCACCUGGCCCUGGUGAACCGGCUCUCCGCCCUGGCCAAGCUGUUCUUUGUUCUGACUAUGGAUGCAAUAGUGCUGCGGUCAGUGAGCAUGUACGUAAAAUAUCCGAGUUUUCUCUCGAGGUGUUAUGUGAAGCUGUCAGGUUGUGCCUGCCAAUUUAAUGUCUGGAAAUACUCUCUGUGCAGGUGGGUGUAGGGCUCUGGUGCAGACUCCAGACCUUGGCCACAGGCAUGGGACGUUAUGUUCUGUGCUAAUCAGAGAUGGGUCAUGGGAAAGAUUCUUAGUGAUUUCCCAGGCAGUGUGUCCAUCCACAAAAGAGGUCAGUGUCUUGGCAUUGAUACAGGAAAGUGACCCUACCCACGUGGACUUCUUAGCAGGAGCUUGGUCACAGACAUGUCAUGUCUGAGAAGGGUCUGAGGACGUGGUGGCACUGGGCUGGGAUUAGUGUUCAUGAGGUUCUGCUGAAGGUUGAGAGGACACCCACGAGCAGGAGGGUGACCAUGACUCCCUACCCAGGACAGUACCCCUCCCACUCUGCUUGCCCGACAGAGAGCCCAGGAGGUGCAGACCAGCUCUGGGCUGGCGAGAAAUGGGAAACAGAGGCUACUCCAACAGAGCGGCCUGGACUGCACCGCCUAGUGGGUCCAGUGGGCAGCUCCCUUCAGGAGGUCCGCAGCUGAAGUGCUGACCUCAGGCAGAGCCUGCCCUGGGCCCUGGGCCUCGCUCCCCACUGUGAACACACCAUCACCAGGUCUGGGAGAUGCUCCGAAACCAACUCAAGAACAAGGUUCCUGACUGUGGCGUGGAGCGGGGGGGGUGGGAGUAAUCCUGUUUCUCGUCCUUUUUUGCGAGCAGGAAUUUUGGGGUUUCCAGGUGACAGAGGGGCACGGUGUUGAGGAGAAGGCACGGCUGGGAAGGAUGGCUCCACGGGCAUUUCCAUAGCCCAUGGGAGGGGGUUGCGCCUCACCUACGUGGGUCCCUCAUGCGGUGCUUGGAGGGCAGGCCAGUGCCCUUUUCUUUUUCUUAAAGACAGGAAGUGAUGAGAAAGGCUGCUGUCCUGCAUGGCUGGACCAUCUUGAUGGCUCCUUCACAGAUGAAGGGGCCUUCACUUGUUUGUGGGGUUGUGGGUUAUGCAUGCAGUGGUGUGAACAUCUCAUGCCGAAUUUUGCUGGUACAUGUUACUUUGUUUUUUCUUUUAUAUAAAUU
rnacentral:lncRNA from 1 species